rnacentral:rRNA from 1 species
AGGACGAACGCUGGCGGCGUGCUUAACACAUGCAAGUCGAGCGGUAAGGCCUUUCGGGGUACACGAGCGGCGAACGGGUGAGUAACACGUGGGUGAUCUGCCCUGCACUUCGGGAUAAGCCUGGGAAACUGGGUCUAAUACCGGAUAUGACCUCAGGUUGCAUGACUUGGGGUGGAAAGAUUUAUCGGUGCAGGAUGGGCCCGCGGCCUAUCAGCUUGUUGGUGGGGUAAUGGCCUACAAGGCGACGACGGGUAGCCGACCUGAGAGGGUGACCGGCCACACGUGGGACUGAGACACGGCCCAGACUCCUACGGGAGGCAGCGAGUGGGAAUAUGCACAAUGGGCGAAAGCCGGAUCCGAGCAAUGCCGCGUGAGUGAGUGAAGGUCCUUAAGGGUUGUAAAGUCUUACGUUUUACCCGAGUAUGAAUAA